rnacentral:tRNA from 1 species
GCUUUGAUAGUUUAAUCGGUUAAAACUUAGAUCUCAUAUGUCUAUAAUAAGAGUUCAAUUCUCUUUCAAAGCU